UCAUAAUACAGGUCCCAUUCUUUCUCCAGAUGCAGGUUCAUCUCCCAUUCCAUCUCCAGCAGUCCCAGUGUUGUCCAUGUCUCUACCCAGGCUGCUGUGUAGUCUACUGGUGGGGUCUCCCUACCUGCUGGUGACCAUCAUACUGCUGGUGAAAUGCUGCAGGAGCAGGACUCAAGGUGAUCAUGUUGAAGAAGAGUGAGGCUGAGAUCACCUGAUCACCAUAACAACCAUCAGAAUGGAACUCCUGUAAUUCUAAUAUAGAACUGUGAGUCACAAUGCUGUAUGUUGUUACAUUGUAGCUCCACCUGCUGGAACAAUAGUGGCAUUUGAUCAAAUGUGAUCUAUUAACUGAUACAUGUAUUAUUCUGAUUGGAAUGUGUUUUAAUAUAAUGUGUGUUGUAUUAUUCAUUCAGCAGCUUUAACAGCAGUCAUAUACUGGUCAUAUACUGUAUAGCAUUAUGGUUGAUACAUUGUAAAUGCCUUAACUUUUCAUGUCUAUACAGAUCAACUGAUAGGUGUGAGGUUCAGGCAUUAUUGUUACAGGUUCAGUAUAAUGUUAUACCGUUACAUGUUACAGAGUUAGAAAACAUACAGGAGAGGAGAAUUCAAUUAUUACAAUUAUUUUCUGUAUUUUCCCAUUUUGGUCUCAUUAUUAUUUGAUUUGAUUUUUAACAUGGAACUAAUGUAGGCCUAUUGUUUUAUUUUGGUUGUUUUGUGCAAAACCAUUAUUUUUCUAUUAAUCAUCCUGGUAAGAUAUUGUUUUUGUCUUUGUAGCAUAUAGAAUUAAAUAAAUGAUUUUCCUCAA